rnacentral:tRNA from 1 species
GGUGAGGUGGCCGAGAGGCUGAAGGCGCUCCCCUGCUAAGGGAGUAUGCGGUUAAUAGCUGCAUCGAGGGUUCGAAUCCCUCCCUCACCCCCA